CGUCCGUCGUCCGUCGUCCGUCGUCGAUAACUUUUAUAAAAAAUCUUCUCUGAAACUACUGGGCCAAAUUAAACCAAACUUGGCCACAAUCAUCAUUAGGGUAUCUAGUUUAAAAAAUGUGUCCGGCGACUCUUCCAACAAACCGAGAUGGCCGCCAUGGCUAAAAAUAGAACAUAGGGGUAAAAUGCAGUUUUUGGCUUAUAACUCAAAAACCAAAGCAUUUAGAGCAAAUCUGACGGAGUAAAAUUGUUUAUCAGGUGAAGAUCUAUCUGCCCUGAAAUUUUCAGACGAAUCGGAUUACCUGUUGUUGGGUUGCUGCCCCUGAAUUGGUAAUUUUAAGGAAAUUCUGCUGUUUUUGGUUUUUAUCUUGAAUAUUAUUAUAGAUAGAGAUAAACUGUAAACAGCAAUAAUGUUCAGCAAAGUAAGAUUUACGAAUAAGUCAACAUGACCGAAAUGGUCAGUUGACCCCUUUAGGAGUUAUUGCUUUUUAUAGUCAAUUUUUAACCAUUUUUUGUAAAUCUUAGUAAUCCUUUACAAAAAUCUUCUCCUCUGAAACUACUGGGCCAAAUUAAUCCAAACUUAGCCACAAUCAUCUUUGGGGUAUCUAGUUUAAAAAUGUUUGGCGUGACUUUGCCAUCCAACCAAGAUGGCCGCCACGGCUAAAAAUAGAACAUAGGGAUAAAAUGCAGUUUUUGGCUUAUAACUCAAAAACCAGAGCAUAUAUAUCAAAUCUGACUGUAAUAAAAUUGUUUAUCAGGUCAAGAUCUAUCAGCCCUGAAAUUUUCAGAUGAAUCGGACAACCUGUUGUUGGGUUGCUGCCC
rnacentral:lncRNA from 1 species